AGGAUAAACGCUGGCGGCGUGCAUGAGACAUGCAAGUCGAACGGACGAUCAGGGCUUGCUCUGAUCGUUAGUGGCGGACGGCUGAGUAACGCGUAGGUGACCUGCCCCGAAGUGGGGAAUAACUGCCCGAAAGGGUGGCUAAUACCGCAUGUGGUGGUGUGUUCAUUCACACCAGUAAAGCCGCAAGGCGCUUCGGGAGGGGCCUGCGUCCGAUUAGCUCGUUGGUGGGGUAACGGCUCACCAAGGCGACGAUCGGUAGGUGGUCUGAGAGGACGAUCACCCAGACUGGGACUGAGACACGGCCCAGACUCCUACGGGAGGCAGCAGUCGGGAAUUUUGCGCAAUGGACGAAAGUCUGACGCAGCAACGCCGCGUGAGGGAUGACGGCCUUCGGGUUGUAAACCUCUUUGUCAGGGACGAUGAUGACGGUACCUGACGAAUAAGUCACGGCUAACUACGUGCCAGCAGCCGC
rnacentral:rRNA from 1 species